AGUGUACGCUGGCGGUAGGCCUAACACAUGCAAGUCGAACGGCAGCACAGUAAGAGCUUGCUCUUACGGGUGGCGAGUGGCGGACGGGUGAGGAAUACAUCGGAAUCUACUUUUUCGUGGGGGAUAACGUAGGGAAACUUACGCUAAUACCGCAUACGACCUACGGGUGAAAGCAGGGGAUCUUCGGACCUUGCGCGAUUGAAUGAGCCGAUGUCGGAUUAGCUAGUUGGCGGGGUAAAGGCCCACCAAGGCGACGAUCCGUAGCUGGUCUGAGAGGAUGAUCAGCCACACUGGAACUGAGACACGGUCCAGACUCCUGCGGGAGGCAGCAGUGGGGAAUAUUGGACAAUGGGCGCAAGCCUGAUCCAGCCAUACCGCGUGGGUGAAGAAGGCCUUCGGGUUGUAAAGCCCUUUUGUUGGGAAAGAAAAGCAGCAGGUUAAUACCCCGCUGUUCUGACGGUACCCAAAGAAUAAGCACCGGCUAACUUCGUG
rnacentral:rRNA from 1 species